CUUCAUCUACCCCCCUGCGGCCUCCGCUUCCGCCAUCGCCGGGGUGCGCGUCACUUCCUGGAGACCGCCCGCGCUUCCGGGGCCGUCCGAAAGUCUGCAUCACUGAUGUUUCAUCUGCAUUGUGACAGGCCCAGGGAGCUGGCUGGAGCACUCCAAGUUUGGAGCCGGUACAAGCUGUCCCCGCUGCAGGAAUGACAGAUUUCUCUGCUUUGCCUUCUCUUUGCAAGGUUUCAGAAUCCCUCCUUCCUGGGACAUGCUGAGAAUUUAUUCAUCCAUUGUUGCACGAGGAGA